UGUGUGUGUGUGUGUGUGUGUGUGUGUGUGUGUGUGUGUGUGUGUGUGUGUGUGUGAGAGAAUACCUAGCGCAUAGGUUUGACGCCUCGUCACAGCUCCUGUGGAUUUUCUCAGAAUUACAUGUAGUAUUAUUAUUAUUAUUAUUAUUAUUAUUAUUAUUAUUAUCAUUGUCAUUUAUUAUUAUUAUUAUUAUUAUUAUUACAGAGUAAUCACACUAAUGUGACUGCAUCAAUGAGUAAAUCCAUAGGAGCCGCGAUGAAGGUUUGAACCUAUGUGCUGGGUGUUCCCAGGUACAACUAGGCCACGACAUGAUAAGGAUUGCAACCUGGAGUUCUACUGAACACUCAAGGAUUUCCUGAGGCUUCUACUGAAGCCAGAACAGGAUUUUCACACAAUCUUCCCAUGCACUCUUGCUCUAUGGCAGAGCUAGAGUGUGAUACACAGAGUCUAUGUGCAUUGGAGGAGGAGCGUCAGAGAGAGAGCAAGUCCUAGAUGACAGAGCCAGAGUGCAUGGGGGGGUUAGUGUGAAAAUCUUGUUCCGGCUUCAGUAGAAGCCUCACGAAAUCCUUGUGUGUUCAGUCGAACUUCAGGUUACAAUCCUUAUCAUGUCGUGGCCUAGUUGACUAGGGCGUGUACAUAGGAACACCCACCACAUAGAUUCAAACCCUCAUUAUGGCUCCUAUGGAUUUUAUCAUCAUAUUCAUCAUCAUCAUCAUCAUCAUCAUCAUCAUCAUUAUUAUUAUUAUUAUUAUUAUUAUUAUUAUUAUUAUUGAGAAAAUGUAAGAGCAGCGAGGAGGGUUCGAACCUAUUGUAUAUGGUGGGUGUUCCCACGCACAUGCCCUAGUCAUCUAGGCCAUGUUUAUUAUUAUUAUUAUUACUACUACUUAGGAUAAAACCCCUAAAUAUGUCACUAUGUUUGUGAGAAGACAUUACAGUACAAUAAUAAUUAUUAUUGUUGUGGCAUUCUAGUAACUCCCAGAUAUUUGUCUGAACACUUGGCCAUGAUAGGACUAAAACAACUCGACCUGGAACUGUACAGAGUCCAGUGGGAGAGUCUGAAAGCCCCAUAUAACUUUAGUUAAGGCAACCAUCUGGGAGGCAGAAGACUGGCUCAAAUCCCCGCAUUUCUCAAAAUGAUUCUCAUUGAUAUACAGUUUCAUGCAAUUGUGAUUUCUUUGUAUUCUGAAGGAGGGACAUGUGGUGAACACCAUUACCUACAGGCCAGAGUGUAGGCGAGCGACUUGUAAAACUUGGUUGUGGCACCAAUUGGGGCCUCCAGACUCUCCCAUGGGACUUGGUAGAUUUCUGAUUGAAUAACUUUUGUCCUGUCGUGACUGAGUACUUAGCUAGUUGUGCUUGUGGGGGGUUGAGUUUCGGCUCCUUGGUCCCGCCUCUUAACUGUCAAUAAAUUGGUUUACCGGCUCCUGAACCUAUUGGGCUCUGUCAUAUCUAUAUUUGAAACUUUAUAUGGAAUCUGUCCUCCAACACACAUCACUUUCGAGUGCAUUCCAUUUGUUAAGUACUCGGACUCUGAAAAACUUUUUUCUAAUCUUUUUGUGCUUCAAUUUGGGACUUAGUUUUCACCUGUGUUCCCUUGUUCAUGUUCCAUCCAUGCUAAGUAGUUUGUCAAUAUCUACCCUGAGACUUUCGUCAGUGGUGAUCAUGUCUUCUGUAACUCUUCUGUUCAAGAAAAAGUGACAGUCCAAGAAAAUGCAGUCUGUCCUCUCAUCUCUUUCUUGGCUAAUUUUUUUAGUCAAGUCAUAGAAUUCUAUUAAACCUGUGAGGCACAGUUAACUAUCUCUUAACCCAUGCUGGUGAUGUGUUAAUUUCCACCAUCAUGUCUAAACUAUGUCCAGUAGCAUAGCUCUCCAUGUAUCUGUACCUCCAUGUAGUUCUCUGUUCUCCCAGUCUAUUUUUCAUUGGUUGAAGUCUCCCAUUAUUAAAAGUCUGGAUCCAUUCCUGCAGGUGACCAAAGUUUCUCUAUUAUGUUAAUGGUUGUCAUGUUGUUUCUGUCAUACUCCUGUUUGGGUCUUGUGUCAUUAACGGAGGGUUAUAUAUCACCUUAGUACCUUAUACCUUAUAUAGUACCUUAGUGCCAAUGAGGGAACUUUAGGUUUCCUCUUGUCAUAAUGCCUGUUACGUAGUCUGAACCCUUCAUAGCCCAGGAUAUCCAUCACUUCCUUGUUAGGGCCACUCCUCCUCCUGUUCUUCCUUUUCUUUCUCUCUUUCUUUAUUAUAUAGUAGUCCUGCAGAAACACUGCACUGUGAAUGGGUUUAGCAGGCAUAUGAGAGUCAUUACAGUGCUGGUUCAAAUAUCCGUAUUGCUAAAAAUUGUUUUCUAAUAAUUUAUUACAGUUAUUAUUAUUAUUAUUAUUAUUAUUUAUGCACAGGCUGAGUGGCAUUGUGUUACGAUGGCUGCUUUCUAAGGGUUUACCUACGUGAGGGGUUCUUGUUUUAAUUAGUUUUGUAGAUAUUUAGCUCAGUAUGGCCAGUGAAAGUGUCAAUUGUUUUGUGGUGCCAUAGCAUCACCAAUUAAUACUUAAGCAUGAGCAAUGUAAAAGAAAAAGAACCAUCAUUUGGUGAAGACCUUUUGCUUAAUUACAGAAGUGCUUCCAUGAGCAAUCUUAAUUCUCAAUAAAUAUAUUUUAUUUGUGCAGUACUCAUAUUAUUACACAGGGAAAUCACAUUAUCGUGAUAUCUCAAUGAGAAAAUCCACAGGAGUCGUGAUGAGGAUUCGAACCUAUGAGCUGGGUGUUCCCAGAUGCACGCUCAAGUCGACUAUGCCACGACGUGGUUCUACUCGUGUUAUUGAUAUGAUCAUAAAGGAUCUUCAGUUACCCGGUCAGUUAACAUUUAUCAGGUCGUGUAUUAGGCCACUCCUUGAGUACUGUAUGCAGCUCCAGCAUGGGGUCCACACCUGAUACAGCACAUGAAGAAAAUUAAAGUCUAUGGAUUUUCCACAAAACAGGUAGUAAAAUAGGAAAAUAUUCUAGUGGGAGAGGUAAAAUGAACUGCAACUAAUAACUUUAGAUGAGAGGAAGGGGGGGGGGACAAAAGUCGAUAUUAUCACACACACUACAAGACACUGAGGAAGUAGACAAAAUGAACCGAGACAAUCUUUUUCAAGGUGAGAGACAACAAAACAAAGGGACACACGUGAAAGUUGGAAACACAGAUGAGCAGAGAAAUGUUAGUAUUUACCUUCAGUAAUAGUGGUAAAUAAGAGGAAUAAGUUUAAAGCAAUGGUUGUGAAAGUGAGCACCAUUGAGAGGUUGCAAGAGCAAGUAAGACAGUACUGGAGCAUUGGUAAUUACAGAUACUGCAGGAACAGUAGGUAUGAGGUGGGGCUGUAGAGCUGCUGCUCAUACACACAACUACCUCAGCACUGCACCCACACUUUUUGACAGAUAUCCCAUUUUCUUAAGAGAAGGAAAUUCCUUCAGAAAUGGUAUAAAAUGUUAUAAAAAAAGUCUGAAAACUAGUGAAUUAGCAAAAUUUGCCCCUGUUAAUGCAUUUUGUCACAGCAUACCACAUGCAUCAGUCUCCAUCUACACUGUGACACAACAUUUACUUACACAAUACCUUAUAUUGUAUAGUAAAUGUAUUUAAAAUAUUCUCCCUAUAAUAUUUGUUUAUGAAUAAUAUAUUUAUGAAAAAUAACUUAUUUACAUAGUAUUUAUAAACUAAAAAAGGUAUAAGUUAAUCUUUAUGAUUAUAUUGAGGCAUGUGAGAAGAGAGAGAUAAGGCAAUGUGGACAAAAGUAAUGUUAUGGUGGUGGAGAGAAGAAAAUUUAAUAUAUGAAGUACAGUAAGUAUGAAUUGUGGAGUGCUGAAUGUAGUCGAUCACUUUAAAUAUCUAGCAUGUAUGGUUACUUAAGAGUAAGUUAUAUAAUUGUAGAUAACAAUAGGGUUAGUUGGAAAGGAAAGUGGAUAAUGCAGUGAAAGCUCUGAUAGGAAGACCAAGAUAGAAACAUUGUAUCAUAGUUGUAGCCAGACAUCAGCAUAAAGAAAUGCUGGUGAUAUCUUUCAGGGUUUCCAUCUGUCAGUGGUAGGAAGCCCGUUAGGUUUAUUGAGGUCUUCGUAGGCCAGUGAUAUACAUUCCCAAGAUUCAAGCCACAACACUUACCUUACUGCUAGGUGAAUAGAAGAGUACCAGGUGUAAGAAAACAUGCCCUGAUAUCUUGUCUUGCUCAGGGACCAAACUUGAGCCUUCUGGUUGAGGUGACUGUAGUGACCUCUGAGUCACAGGUUGUGUGAUGCUUUAGCAUAAUGUGAAACACAGGAGUUAAAGCAGUUGAAAGUGAUAAUAUAAGAAGCAUGUGUGUGUAACAAGAGUACACUCAACAUCUUCUCUUCUGGACACCUUGCACCCAACUGUGAUUAACCUGGUUAUGUAGUAGUGUUUGGAUAAGUAGUCAAAUUCCUCCCCCCGGUACGAAAAUUAAUCAUUUUAUGUACAAAAGUAUGUAACAAAACAUUAUCGUUUCACUAGAUACAAAACUAAACACCACAAAAUAUUGGUAGAGUACAGUAACAGUACUAACAAUAAAUAUUGGUACUCACCAAGUGUCCAGAUGUUUCUCCACAUUAGAUCUUGGAAUGAUGGAUAGAUGAGUAUAGUGUUAAUUGAGGGUGGAGGUAUAUGUUGAAGGUUACACAGAGAAGGAACACAAGAGGCCUCAGUUCACGAGGGUGGAGGUAUAUGUUGAAGGUUACACAGAGAAGGAACACAAGAGGCCUCAGUUCACGAGGGUGGAGGUAUAUGUUGAAGGUUACUCAGAGAUGGAACACAAGAGGCCUCAGUUCACGAGGGUGGAGGUAUAUGUUGAAGGUUACACAGAGAAGGAACACAAGAGGCCUCUGUUCACGAGGGUGGAGGUAUAUGUUGAAGGUUACACAGAGAAGGAACACAAGAGGCCUCUGUUCACGAGGGUGGAGGUAUAUGUUGAAGGUUACACAGAGAAGGAACACAAGAGGCCUCAGUUCACACACUCUUGGAAGCUCUCUCAAAAGUAUCUUUGAGUGUUCAUUGCCUCUAGCCAUCUCUUUGUAUUUUUGAAAAACUGUGUAAAAUCUAUAAACUGCCAUCAGACUCUGAAGAUUGACAUUAGAUCUUCUUUCCAUGAACUUUAAAAUGGUUUCAAAACUCUUCUCUACCUCUGCCAUGCUUGCUUGAGUUGCUCUGUCUUCCUCCUCCGAUGUUGAUGAAUCUUCCGAAUCCUGAAAAUUCACUUGUCUGUUUUCUGUCACCAGAUUAAUGAUAUCAUCAUCAGACAUGCUUGGUGCUGUAGGAACAUCUCGAUCACACUCAAUCCAUGCAUCCACUUCUUCCUCAAGAUUUGCUCUGAUCAAUUAAUUUCUUGAAUGUUGGGACUGUUCAUUUAUUCCUUUAACAUAGGCAAGUAGUUCUUGUCUUAAUUUCUUCAUCUCAAUGAUUUUUCUU